rnacentral:rRNA from 1 species
GAUGAACGCUGGCGGCGUGCUUAACACAUGCAAGUCGAACGAAGCGCUUGAGAUUGAUUCUUCGGAUGAUUUCUCUUGUGACUUAGUGGCGGACGGGUAAGUAACGCGUGGGUAACCUGCCUCACACAGGGGGAUAACAGUUGGAAACGACCGCUAAUACCGCAUAACCCGCUAGGGCCGCAUGGCCCGGACGGAAAAGAUUUAUCGGUGUGAGAUGGACCCGCGUUGGAUUAGCUAGUUAGCAGGGUAAUGGCCUACCAAGGCGACGAUCCAUAGCCGGCCUGAGAGGGUGAACGGCCACAUUGGGACUGAGACACGGCCCAAACUCCUACGGGAGGCAGCAGUGGGGAAUAUUGCACAAUGGGGGAAACCCUGAUGCAGCGACGCCGCGUGAGUGAAGAAGUAUUUCGGUAUGUAAAGCUCUAUCAGCAGGGAAGAAAAUGACGGUACCUGACUAAGAAGCCCCGGCUAACUACGUGCCAGCCGCCGCGGUAAAAC